UUCACAACUUCUCACUUAAGUACCCUAUGGUUUAAAGUGUAUCAAGUUAGCUCUUAUGGUUUCGCACGUUCUCACUUUAGUACUCUGUGGUUUAAAGUGUAUCAAGUUAGUUCAAUUUUCUCUUUUUAUUAUUCAUUUCACUAAUUUUUUUCGUUAAAUUAGUGACAAAGUUAAAAUUAAAGGGUACUAAAGUGAAUAUUCGAUAAACCUAAGUAGGGUAUCUGAAGUUUUUUAUAUAUAAUUUAACGAAAUAUUAACUGAGGAAAAAAAAAAAUCGGUGACAAAGUUAAAACUAAAGAGUACUAAAAUAAAUAUUCAAUAAACCUAGGUAGGGUAUCUGAAGUUUUUUGUAUAUAAUUUGACAAAAUAUUAACAGAGGAGUCAACGAAAAGAAAAAAUUAAAACCAUAUAGUAUUAAAUUGAUGCACUUUAAACCACAGGGUACUAAAAUGAGAAAGUGGGAAACCACAAGGUACUAAUUUGAUACGCUUUAAACCACAGGCACUAAAGUGAAAAAGUGCGAGACUACAGGAAUGGUAUUUAAAGUUUUUCCUUUAAUUAAUGGAUAAAUUAAUGGGGUGUAUAGAUCUUACAAUCUUUAUCCACGAGUGAAGUUACCCACGCAUUGCAGCGAACUAAUACUACAAAAAAUAAAAAAAUUUCAAGAUUUUUUGACUUGUCAUGAGACAUCAAUACAUACAAAUAAUAUGAGAAAAAAUAAUAUGAAGAGAUCUUAUUUUACUUAUUUUUUUAUAAAAACGAUUUUUUUAAGAUGACAAUAGAUCAUGUGAACGCAUUAAUUGAAAAGUGUCAUAUGACAAAUUUUAUGAAAAAUAAUGUAUAAAUAAAUAAGUAUAAGUAUGGAGAUAUAGAUGCGUGCAGAUACCCACGAAUUAUUUGUAAAUUUAUGAGGAUGGAUACUAUUUUUUUAUCCAAAAAAAUUAUGAGUAAAACCGGUAGAUAUCCGUUAAAUUAUGAUUAUUUUGAGUGAUCACAUGGAUGCCUGUGGGUACCUGUAUAUCUAUAUCUAUAUCUAUACUAUAUAUAAAAGCACGUAUAUUUAAAUUUGGGUCUGUCGACAGACCCAUUUUUCAGCGAAAAAAUUAGCGCCUAUUUUUCUCUUUCCGUACGAAAAAUUUUAAAUAUAAGAAUAAAAAUAGAAAUAGAAAUAGUAAUGAAUACGUAAGUUCUCUAUAACAGAUUACUGAUAUAAAAUCCUAAAAUAUAAAUUUUUCUGUUUAAUUUCAAAAGUAAGUUUUCUAUAACAGAUUACGGGUGUGAGAAUCCUAUAAAAGAUAUUUUUCUAUUUUAUUUUAAAAUAUUUUUUUUAGAUAUUAUCUAUUUAAUUUCAAAAUAUAUUUUCUUUUUAAGAUAACGGAUUUUAUUUUUCUAUUUAAUUUCAAAAUUUUAUUUCCUGACAGAUUUUAUUUUUCUAUUUAAUUUCAAAAGUAAUUUUUGCAUUAGAGAUUAUUGUUAAUUAUUUAUCAUUUAAAGUAUAUCUUUCUUAAUAGCGUGAUUUAUUAUUUUAAAUUUUUUAGAUACAUAUUUGGCAAUCAUAUAAAAUAUGGCCUAAAAUUAAAAAAUAAUUUA
rnacentral:lncRNA from 1 species